UUCCCGCUCGUCCACACAGCGUCAUCUGGGGUUCCCGAAGGUCAGAAAAUGGCUAUUGAUUAAUCUAUUGGAAUAGUUGCCGACAGAAAUAAAAAAAGACGUAAAAUUACAGGGAACCUAUAAAUAAAGAAGCCGUAACUAGCUGCUCGGAGUUGUUAAACGACUUAGCAUGUGAGAAAGUCGGGAAUGAGGCGCUGGGGAAGGAGCCGGGAUUGGCAGCGGCCUGGGGCGUAGAUAAACUCUCCAAGAUUUAACUUCCGCAGAAACCAGCAGCAGAGGGGGCGGAGGAGGAGGAGGCGAGGACGCGGCCGGUGCACACCGAGUUCCUCUGCCAAGGAAAGUCAGUGAUGGCCGCCUCCUUACCAGCCACGAGUGCCUGCCAGGUGUGGUGGGCUCCUGAAACUCAAGCCGUCUGGCCGCUGAGGCCUGGAAGGGAAAUGCGGGCCUCUCCAGAGGAAGGAGCUUAAGUGGAAAUGGUCCGAGAGGAAAUACUUAAUGAAAUAUUUACAGGAGACACUAGCUGCACUGCUUUGUGGCCCGCAGGCUCCGGACUGUUUACAAUACUAUGUAGACAGCCUCUCGCGAAACCGACCAGAGCGGCGAGCUGGCUGCCCACUGUCCCCCGGCAGCAGAGGUUCUGGCUGCAACUGUCCCCAGCAAGCUAAUAAUUACAACAGAAAGGUCGGAAGAACAAGAGAAAGAAACUGAAAUUCACAAAUUCAGAAAUUCCUUUUGCUCAGCUUUGGGUAUCUAGCGCCAGUAGCAGGUGCGGGCCGCAUCGGGAGUCCCAGAGCAUCCUAGGAGGCUGGGCUGGCGUGGAUGUG